GAAAUUCAUGCAAAAAUUUUUGAAACCUCCAGUCUAACUGGUGAAAAUGUUGGUAGGUUUUGAAGUCAAUUUUUGGAUUUAAACGUACUGCAUGCGAAUUACCCUUGUAAUUACCCCGUACUACAGUAACUGUUAUUUCUGUAAAAAAUAGGAUUUUUUUCUUGCAGGCAAACUAUUUCAUGAAGUUGGAAAGACAUGCUUAGAAAAGCUUGUUGUGAAAGGCCCCAAAGGCAAAGGUUCAGACUCAUAUAAUUAUGUAGUUAGACCAACAGGUGGGAAAUUUGUCGUCGCUGACCAAAAAAUUGCGGGCAGAAACAAAGCUCAUUGCAUUUACAUUCAAAACAAAGCAGAAAGUUAGCAAGAAGCUGUUUUAGCUGACGAUUUUUUGCUUUCCAUUCAACGAUUUACAAAUUAUUGGUUAUUCUUUUAAAAGUCGAUCAUGAAUUCUUUGUUUUGGGAUGAUUGUUUUGUAAUCGCGUGAUUGGAAGAAGUUGAUAUGGCGACGUGAACAUGGGAGUAAAUACCGUAUACGUCGAUCUAUGGCUUGUUUAAAACCGUCAUAAACGAAGAAAGACGUGAUUUGAGAAUGAAAUGUAAGUUGAAAUUAACUUUAUAUGCCUCAAAUUUUCCAUCUUAUGUUUCUUAAUGUAACUUCAGCUGUCUAAGUUCAAAAUACAAGCUCGCGAAAUUUGACAAAUUUUGAAAAUAUGUAAAAAUAGCUUGACUUUGAACUGUAUUUUCUCAAAAAUAGCCCGUGGCCUCAAUUUCAAAUAUAGCUAAAUGAAAAGAAAAAACUUUUCUGCGUUUGUAGGUAUCAAACAUAUCGUCAGGAAAAUAGGGGCUCACAAUGUUUUAGUUCAGUCUUUGAGACCCAGUUGCUUCGCACGUGUUGUGGUCAAAUUUUUGCCAAGAAUCAAAGGCCGAAAUGUGAACUUUCUUCAUGAAAACCGCUUCGAGCGGGGUCUAGUUUGAAAAUGUAGCUAUUAAUUUCGAUUUCAUGAGCAUAUUUUGGUUACACGUUAAGUAUUUUUGUGCUUGAUGAGAUUCAAAAUUUGUUGUAUAUACAAGCCCGGCUUUUGUGUAAUUUUGGUGAUGACCGGAACAGAAAUAAAGAUAUUUUAAAAACUGGCCGUGGCCUCACGAUAAAACUUUCUACAAAUGUUCUCUGUUUCAUGUACUUUUAUUUGAUGUCUUAGGUAUAAGCGUAAAAAUAGGGGCUCGUACAGUUUGAGAGGUUGUAAAAUGCAUGACUUGCCUCUAUUUUCAUGUAAACAUUCGAAAUUCUUCGACAGCAAAGUAGCAACUGUUUCAGAUCGAAUGCACACGGACAGCCCAUCAGAGACAAUGUCAGGGUACUGAAAUAGAACGUCACUAAAAAAUUCUGUAUGAUUAAUUUAGAUCAUGUCCACUCUUUCAACAUAAAACAGUCAUUUAUUCUGUACAAACAUUUGGCAAUAUUUACACGAUUCUGCCUUUUUGUAAACACGCGUUGCGUGUAUUCCGCGCAAUUGCGUGGCUCAUUUUACUCGCGCAUGCUCAGACAAAUUUCCCACCUGUUAGUUAGACCUAUUUCAAAUUCAUUGUGCAUGUCACGCGAAUACAAGGAUUAUAGAUAGUAAAUUUUACCGUAGGCAACCCAGCAAAUAUAUGUAUUCACUUAAAAACGCUUAAAAAUGCGCAUAAAGUUCGUCUGCCUUUGCUAUCAAAUGCAGAUUCGGAUGUUUACGUCAUUGUGUUUUCAUAUAGUAUACCAUAGACAAUCCAGAAGACAGACGUUUUAUAUUCGUUUUCGAUUUUCGCGAUGUAGGUAUAAUCCUGUAACAAAAAUGGCUACUUUUAUACAAUGACAAUGCAUGGACCUUUGGCUGCAGCCAUCAAGGCCAAAACAUCUUUGCAGUGUUCCUAUGUCCUGUAAUGACACAACGUCAGAUAUGUGGAAAGGUCUAAAGGUAUUUAGUAUAAAUUUCCAGGUGACUAUUGAUUUUUCUGCAUUCUGAUUGGUCAAGAUUCACUGUCUCUGAAGUGAUAGUCACUGGUCAGCGACUAUAGCUUUUUUUUUCAAAAUGGCUGCUCGUUUUGCCGUAGUAACAGAAGAGGAAAUUGCCAAAAUUGAAGAAGAUAGCAUUCCGAAAAAACCCAAACAAGCUACAAAAUAUGAUUUAAAAAUAUUUCAAGGUAAAAUAUUAAACUUUACGUGCUUUUAUUUGGAAAAAAACUGGCUUAGUCGCAACGCGACACAGAUCCGUGUCUGAGAUUUAAAUUUUGUAAACAAACUAUUUAUAGUGAAAAUAAAUUUAUUUGAAGUGAAUUUUUAUAAAGUUGUGUGGAUUAUUGUUUGUAAACACCUGGAAAUUUAUACUAAAACAAUUAGUCCCCUCAGGCUCGGUGAUUACAAGCCUAUAUUCACUUCGGCUCAGUGAAUAUAGGCUUGUAAUCACCUCGCCUUCGGCGACUAAUUGUUAAAUAGAUUGCAGUCCUCUGUCCUCUCCUCCUUUUUUGUAAUGUUCAUUCUCGAUUAUUUUUAGAGAUUCUAUCACUAACAUUAGAGGAGCCGAAAAAACAAAGACAAAAGCGUUGUCAAUGAUUUAGGAUGACCAAAUUCAGUUUGUCACCUCCAAUUUGGAGUUAAAACUAAAUAGUAAUUACAAUAAUUGUGAUAUAUUAACACAUUCAGGAGCAAAGCUAAACACAAGUAUACACAAGAGUAAAAGUUGAUUUUUAAAAGUUAAGUAGUAUUUUAAUUUUUAUAGCAGAAGGAACGAAUCCUGUUAAAUAUACUAAUUAUUAUUUACGGCUAUAUGAUUCACGUUAAAGACUACUCUAAUAUCAUGUAUUUACAUCGUAGUUAAAAUGAAGAUUGAAUUUAUCAAUAGCGAAUACAAGUGCACUGCCCUUAAAGUAUUCAGUUCUGCAG